GAUGGCGGACCGGCGCACGGGUGCGUAACGCGUAUGCAACCUACCUUUUACAGGGGCAUAACACUGAGAAAUUGGUACUAAUUCCCCAUAAUAUCUGAGACGGCAUCGUUUUGGGUUGAAAACUCCGGUGGUAAAAGAUGGGCAUGCGUUGUAUUAGCUAGUUGGUGAGGUAACGGCUCACCAAGGCGACGAUACAUAGGGGGACUGAGAGGUUAACCCCCCACAUUGGUACUGAGACACGGACCAAACUCCUACGGGAGGCAGCAG
rnacentral:rRNA from 1 species